AGUGAUUAUUAUUUAUUGAGUGAUUGUGGAGUACCACGCAGGCACUGGGCUGAAUGCUUAUAGAUAUCGGUUUGAGGCUUUCUACAUCUCUGAAAGGAAGGACUGGAGAUGCCGUCGUCCAGAACGGACUUGUGGACAGAGUCGGGGAAGGAGAGAACGGGACAAAAGGAGAAAGACAAAUAAUCAGAGCUAAGAGAAACAGGAACAUAUUUCAAAUUGGAGGGACAAACUUCCAUGCCCUCGGGAGCCCAGCUGCCAAUGUGGUUUCAGAUUAAAAUUCCAUCUGCUUCUUCCGAAAAGCUUGUUUCCUUCCAUUCUUAAGAGGCUUAAUAACCUUCUGACUCCUUUCAGCUCUUGUAAAGAAGCAGUCUAUGUGCCUGCUUGCUCACCGAAGGGGCAACCGUGUGUACUUGACCA